CGCAACCGCCUAUAAAAUGAGUUAAAAAAGAAUUAUAAUUCUCGAUUAUAUUACGUGUACAUUAAAAUUAGUCACUAAAAUCGGUCACCACACUACGCCAGAAACGGAACAUAGCGGCAAAGAAUUGGCGACGUUUCACCUUGCCACCGCAAAGCAGUGGUGCGGAUGAAGGCUCUCUACGUGUGCCGCUACAACAGCGACGAUUGCCUAGUUAAACGCCACUAGAACCCCGCGAAGAGUCCUUGGAAGCAUGUGAACACUGCCGUCCCUAAUCCACUGCUGCCGACCUUGGGUCCUCUGGCCGUCGUCGAGCAUUUGGGGCAGCCACAUUUCCGGAAACCCAUACUCCCUUGUCCAGGGUGUGCGAAAUCCCUGGGAUCUGCAACACCCUGCGCCUCUGUCUGGGUUGUGGAGUCGCGCAGCUCCCAUACACGCUUCUCCCACCGGCGUCGAAGUCUCCCAUCACCUUGGUCAUGCACGAAACUGUUGAGCCACCCUCCACUGUUCGCCAUUUUGAGCUAUCGCCGCCUCUCCUUGUCCCUGGUGCCCUUUAUCUUCUAAGAUGGCUAGAAAAGGUCGUUUCACGAAAAAACUGAAAGUAGGACCAGGAUGUCAGCAACCAAAUAUGGCUCCGCCUCCUGCCUUUGCUACCCACCGCGAUGACUCUGAAAUUCUCCCGAUAGUGAUAGUGUCCCUCCAACUUCACGCCCGUUCCUUCUGCCGCGUAGUGUACUAAGGCCUGCUCCAGAAACGAGCACAACUACUCGGAGCCAAGCCAUGUAAACUCGGCAGAUAAUGCUAAUGAUGUGGAUUCUGUUGAUUAAGAAGCUGAUGGCUCGUUUGUUGAUUCUAGAGCUCAGAAUUGUAAAGGACGCAAGACUACAGAGUUUUGAAAAAUCAGGAUAAUCGGUAAUUUAGCCAAUAAUUUUUAUGUGUUCAACAUGAUUUAGACACAUGUUAAGUAUUCUUAAAUAGAAUAUUAGGAUUGGAGAUGUUUUGCAUUGAAGCAAACAUUUUAUUGAAUUAGACUGAGCAACUCUUUGAAAGA